rnacentral:rRNA from 1 species
CCUACGGGGGGCAGCAGUGGGGAAUUUUGGACAAUGGGCGCAAGCCUGAUCCAGCCAUGCCGCGUGCAGGAUGAAGGCCUUCGGGUUGUAAACUGCUUUUGUACGGAACGAAACGGCCUUUUCUAAUAAAGAGGGCUAAUGACGGUACCGUAAGAAUAAGCACCGGCUAACUACGUGCCAGCAGCCGCGGUAAUACGUAGGGUGCAAGCGUUAAUCGGAAUUACUGGGCGUAAAGCGUGCGCAGGCGGUGAUGUAAGACAGUUGUGAAAUCCCAGGGCUCAACCCGGGAACUGCAUCUGUGACUGCAUCGAUGGAGUACGGCAGAGGGGGAUUGAAUUCCGCGUGUAUCAGUGAAAUGCGUAGAUAUGCGGAGGAACACCGAUGGCGAAGGCAAUCCCCUGGGCCUGUACUGACGCUCAUGCACGAAAGCGUGGGGAGCCAACAGGAUUAGCUACCCCUGUAGUC